AACAGAAAACCGAUGCCUAUCUGAGACCACUUUGAGGAGAAUAUAUGGCACCAGUGUCUCCCACACAUCCAGUUCAUGUCCUGCAAGACAGAUGUAUGCCACAAAAUGUGAAUCCUUAAGGAAUCGGAUACAGAAGGUCAUCACUGAGGCAGAUAAAAUGGUGGCUAGCACAGACUUUGCAGAACACAUUUAAUCAGCCCAAAAGGAGAGAGACCAUUAUCUGUGAAAAGGUCAUGCUGCUAUUGCAGGUGUUCAGGGUCAUCCAAAGUCUACUGUUCCUGUUCCUCCAACUUCCAUGGAACUAAACGAUGUCCACUAUACAUUUCAUUAUGCUCAAAGUGUACUUCUGUCCAGUCAUUGCAGACAGGAAGGAGCUUUGUACUUCAGGUUGUCACAAGCUAUCUGGCAUGGAGAGUGGCAGAUGGAUAUCAUGAUGACAUCCAUCCACAUUUCAUGAAGCUGUAUCAUGCCCGUUGUCUUGUUGAUGGGAUGUUUGGUAUUGCCCGAAGGAAAAUUCAACGUGGUGAUGUGGAUAGUUUGUCUGACCUGAAAAUGACCAUCGUUACUUCAUCCACACAUAACCAGGCUGAUGUAUAUAGUGAGCUGUCACCAAACUCGUGGAUCUAGAGAGACUGGAAAUAAUUUAAUUGUUUUGAAGUCUGUAUAUAGAACUGUUCCUGGUAGUGGGAAAUAUCAUCACUUUCACUUUGCUACCACUACUCCAGGAAUGGUCAGAGUAAAGAAAAGUGUUGAUGGGGAGACAACUGCUGUGAGGCUUGUGAAGAUUAUUACACAGCGUUUGCCAGUAAGACUGGAGGUAAAGGGUUUUUACAGCAGAACGUGCCUGGUACCUGUACAAAAACGUCAGGCCAUUUGUAAAGGAUCCGUCUAAGGUCCUUCUAUGUCCUCUCCACACCGUCCCAGAGCCCGCUUCUAGACCCACCCACACAGAAGAGUGAA